rnacentral:lncRNA from 1 species
UUCACUUUUGGAGAGUGCUAUUGUUUGGGUAGGAUUUUUUAAGCUUAAUUCACAAAGACAUUUUUUAAAUAUUAAAAUUCAUGCCCUUUGAUUGAUCAAGGAGGAGGCAGGAUAAUGUAUUUUUUUCCCCUCGUACCAGAGUUUAAUACAGGCUAUAUCUCCUUUGGCAAAUCACCUAUCCCGAUAAAAAACAAAACUGUUUUUAAAUCUCAGCUCUGUAAUCCUUAGAGCUUAAAGAUAAAGGAAAAAAAAUGACCUUCUUUUUGUCCAUUAGUCAAUUACAGGAAGCAUUAUUCUUUCCAUAUUACCACGUUAUGAAUCUGAUUUCAAAGUAAGUAUUCUAAUGAAAAGAGAAGCACUUAACUUUUUAAAAAAAUUCCAACUGACUCUGCAAAUGAAAUUUUUAAACCAAGGUACCAGGAGAGGAAAAAGACCUUAUGUUCUAAAGCCACCAUCAUAUGAAAUAAAUUAUUCUGUCUUUUAUGUAUCCGAAUGGUAGUAGUUAUAUGCCAUCCUUGGGAGAACUGAAGAAAUGGUCACUCAAGUCAUUCUGUAUGUUUUGUGUUUCUGAGGAGCCCUCACUGAGAAAGGCUGGCAGAGUCAGAAAAAAAAAAUUCGUGUUCUUUAAACAGGGUAUAGUCGGGGUUUUUUUUUUUGUGAUUGGGGCUUUUUAAAAAGAGAGGUACUCUGGAAAAGGAGACAGAACAUAUUUAAGUCCUACUUUUAGCAUGUGAAGGAGCUAGAUUCUACAUUUUCUUAAAUACUCUGAUGAGUUAAAUGGAACUAACACUCAAAUGCCACCAAAUCCCCCCACCACUGAUAGUUAACAAUGACAGCAUCUCCGACUGCUUCUUGCAUCUUUGCUAUCUGCCUGACUCCAUUCUGAGUGCUUUGCAUCAAUUCUCCUGUAAUUCUCUUUAAUAUGAGAUAAGUAUCCCCAGAUUUACAGAUGAAUAAAACUGAGACUCAGCUCACACAGCAGGCCCAAGAUUGUCCAGUUAAAUAAGGAGCACAAGCAGGAUGGAAGCCAGGCCAGUUCAACUCAAAGGGCCUCACUUAACACCAAGGCCUACUCUGAAGGGUGCAAGACUUCAGGCUUGUAUCCUCAGGUGGGCUGUAAAAUAAGAGGCCUGGACUACACUAGCUCUAAAUUUGUUACCCAGUAUGCUACAGUUAAUUUACCAAGAUACAUAGUGCAAAAACAAGGAAAAAGAUUAACGUCACUUUUUACUAUGAUUUUGUAUAAAAUAAUUGGAAUUUAAAAUAGGGCACAAAACAUUAUCUUUAUGAAACACUUGUUUCUGAAUGAAAUGGAGGAUGGUUUUAGCACCCUAAUACUCAGUUUCAAAACUGUAACAAUAAAGUUACACAAGAUGAUAUAAAUUCUAACCCCUGUAGAAAUGUUGGACUGAUUAUCCAAUUUCAGGAGUUACAGUGUGGCUUUAUGUUUGUUUUCUUUAGUGCUUUGCCAUGGUUUUUAUAUAAUAAAUGAAAAACACAAACAAAAAACACAAAACUGAGUUGUGGAGAAUGAUGACUUCGAUGGAACCAUAAAAUCUCCCCUACACUAAAAAGAAAAGAACACACAGCCACUUUACAUCUGCAAUCCACCUUCCUCAGACCUUGGUCUUGCUCUGUCACCCAGGCUGGAGUGCAGUGGUGUGAUCACAGCUCACUGCAGCCUUGACUUCCUUUUGGGCUCAACAGAUCCUCCCAGCUCAGGCUCCCAAGUAACUGGGACUACAGGCGUGUGACACCAUGCCCAGCUAAUGUUAUUUUUUGUAGAGACAAGGUCUCACCAUGUUGCCCAGGCUGAUCUCGAACUCCUGGGCUCAAGACAUCCUCCUGCCUCAGCCUCCCAAAGUGCUGGGAUUAUAGGUGUGAGCCACACCCAGACUAGACUAAUCUUUAAGAAGACAACCUUUGUUUAUAAGAGCAAAAGAUUCUAUUAUAUAAAGGCUGUAUCAGGAGUGCACUUCCAAUUUGAUAUAACUCCAUUUCAUUUGAAAAUCUAUGGUCAUCAGAAAUUUGGGGAGAAAAAUUUCAAUUUGACUAAGAUGUUUAAGGGGGAAUGUUAGUUAUUUUGAAAAUCAUAAACAUCUUGACUUUGCAGGUUUAAUCAUCUGUACACUUCUGAUAUUGUACUGUCAACUUGUAUUUUUAUCAACUUCAAUGGGUCUUGUAGUUAUAAACAGCAUAAUAUAUCAGACUGACAGAAAAAAAGUAAAAUAAGCUGAACUCCUAAUCUAUGCUGGUCAUUGUUGAAGCAAUUGCCAUGUUUUAUCUCAUCUAGUCUUCAUAAAAAACCCUAAGAAGCAGGUACUAAUAAUAUCCCUAUUUAUAGAUAACAAUACAGAGAUGCAAAAAGUUCUGUAACUUGUCCAAGGCCAUAUAGUUCCAAGUUGCAGAGCCAGGCAAUCUGACUCAGCCUCUGCUCGUAACCACCAUACAAUCCUUAAAGUCCUGUUCCUUUUAUUUUUUUUCUCCCUUGCUUAUGUCUUAGGCCCACCUAGGAACACCCACAGAGGGUUCCUGGCUCAGGUGAUGAUAUUGGGGGGUGCUCAGAAAGUCCAUUGCUGCUAAAACAAUAUAUAGAAACAGGUUACGGUAAUACCAUAAUGACAGUUCCAUAUAACACAAAAUAUUCUCAAGCAUAAGGAUACUUACUUUAAGCAAUAAAGCACAGACCAACAUUUCAAUAAAUCAGAAACUUGAAAUACUAUCUUGGAGACAAUUAUAAUUGAUUUUCCUCAGCCCAUUUCUCUUCUUAGACGACAAGAUUUCCUUGUUGAUCUUAUCCACAUUCCCGAUUUUCACUGCUGCAAAUCUGCAUCCCGUCCUAACCUCUCCUAUAAGCUUCAGACUUACAAUAUUGUGUCAACUGCCUGCUAGACAUCCCCAUCUAGAUGUUUCAAUUUCAAACCAAACAAUCACACCCCCACCCCAUUCUACAUCUCCUUUCUGAAUUUCCUAUUAGAUUUUUGGAAUUACCAUACCAAGCUGGAAAUGUAGGGGUCUCUACCUCACUUCCACAUCCAAAUAAUUCUGUCAAUUUUACCUCCCAGAUCUAUUCCUUCCCUCAAUUUCUGUUGCUACUGCUGCAGUUCAGGCCUGUACCGUCUCUUACUUGGACUAUUUUAAGAACCUUCUCAGUGGGCUCCUGGCUUCAAAGUUACCCUGCAUAGCAACAUUCAAAGCAGGGAGGAACAUAUGAAAAUCUAUGGUCCUCCCUGCUUUGAACCUUGCUAUGGCUACCUACUGCCUCCAGAUGAAAUUCAGGUUACUGAUCCCAGCAUCCAUCUGGCCUCAGUCUCUCCUGUUUUUUCCAACACGCUUCCCUUUAGUAUUCAGCCCCUGCAUCUUACUAAUCUGAGGCUCUUUGGGCCUAAAUAACUGUUCAACUAAAUUGAACAAAUGUCUAGGAUUUUGAUUUUUAAGUAAUAUAGAAUAAUACUUGGUCCUCUAGAGCAUGUAGAAUUCAUAAUUCCAAAUUUACUAUGAGAAUUAAGUCAUCUUUUAAAACAUUUUUAUUGUGGUAAAAACCAUUUUUAAAGAAGAAUUAAUCCUCCCUUAAGGAAUCAGAAUGGGGAAAAAGUUAUUUAAGGUCUACCAUCUUUUUGCUUUUUAAUCAAUAAUUGAGUUAUUCUAUUUGUAUUCUGUUUCUUCACAGUAUCAAUUGCCAUCAGGAGUCUUUGUAAGUAGUGAAGAGUGGUGGAUCAGGAUCUCAUCAGAGGCAGGCACCAAUCUGACUUAAUUCAGGGACUUGGUUAGGUAGGUGACAGAAAAGCUGGGAAGCCAGACCACUGUGAGAACCACAGGCAGCCUCUCCACGGCCUUGGGCAGAAGAAUAAAGAGAGGAGAGAAUGUUGUUGGAGCUCAGGGCCACCCACAGUGGGUGGGGCAUAGGUGAGACGCAGCAGCUCACAGAGGUCUCUAGAGCUGAGGAGACAAGGCUGAGAGUCUGGGAAGCGGGACAGAGUACCCACGUGGAGAAAGCUACAGAGAGAGAGGACUGUAGAGAUCUGUAGCUUCCCUAGAGUCUUCAGCUGAGUACUGACCAGCACAUGUACAUAAGUAAACUACAAGAGGCCAGAGAGAGGACUAGAGGGAACCAUCUCCAAAUCUUACACAAACAUGCUGCAUGAGCUGGAAAGAGAAAUAUAAAUGCCCUGCUUUCCCCCCAACCCCCGCCCCUCCUCCUUUCCUGUAAUCCUCCCCUUACCUAUGCCUCCCAUUAGCCUGGUGGUUCUCAACCUUGGCUGCACAAACUAGAAUCAACUAGGAAGCUGUAAAAACGUUGAAUGCCUCGGUACACCCCUAGAAAGACUGAUGUAAUUGGUCUGGGUGCAACCUGGGCAUUAGGAGCUUUAAAAGCUCUCUUGGUGAGUUGAGAACCAAUACAUUAGCCGAACCCAAGUAGAAGACACGAGAACAGACCCUGGAAAACAUAGCCUACAGAAAUCAGCACCCUUUCAUACGGGGCAAGGAGAGGAUCUGAGAGCCUGUGGGCCUAAGAUCAGCAAAGAUGGCACAAAGAGAUGGGUAGAAAUAAGAUGAUGAGAAGAAGGAGAAAAAAAAGUAGGCAUGAUCUUCCUUAAACCCUUCAGUGGCCAGCUCACAUUGAACACCCGGCUGCAGAGUUUCUUCCCUCUUAUAAUACUUACUGCUAUUCCUCCAGUGACCAGACUAUCAUGUGCCACCUCCCAUGUGUCCUUGGCUGUGCUGAAGCCCAGCAUCUUGCUAUCUGUUCUGGUUCAUCCUGCAGCAUCCCAUCAGGAAACCCUGGUGUUCCUCCUCUUACUAGCUGCAUCAGGUAUUUUCUUCUUUCCCAAACUGACUGGCUAGUUCAUUUGUAUAUUUUGCUAAUAUUAAGUAGUAAUUGAUGGCUAAUAAUAGGUAAUGUAACCCCCCCGGAUAAUAUUUGCAUGGCAAAACAGACCUUGAGUGUAAGAAUUUCAGGGCAAAGUCACAGAUUGAUUGAAUAGAUUUUUCUGUGUCCCUUAAAAUGUAAAUAAAUUUAAAUCAAAUAACAUAGGGGAUGGCCUAACAUUGGAAAGUAAUGAUUUACAAAUUUACAAAUGAUUUACUGCAAUGUAUUUUGAUUAUAAUCCUACUCAUAGCUGCUAAAAUGUUAAGCAAUGUGAAGAUACCUUAAGAUACAUUUAUAUCCUGUUAAUCAUUUAUAGCCUAAAAAUAUACUUGCUGUAAAUUCCAAAGUCUUAUGAUUUUGGAUCAAAAGAAAUUUAUUUUUAAAAGUGGAAAUAUUUAGCAUUAUUAUCCUAUUUGCCUGAGAAAGUCACCUUCCAGAGAAGGACAAAAUCCAAGGUCAAAAUCAGAAAUCAGAUACUCUAUGUGUGUGUGUUUAGACUGACAGGUCAGUCCCUGAGAAACUGGUUGUAUAUUGUGAAACUGUUAAAAUACUGAGUUCAAAACUGGACAUGCUAUUUUUAAAAAACUAUUUUCUGGUAUGAAUCUUUCUUAUUAUUACUCUAGAUGAAGAAUUUGUGAAUCUCCACAAAUAUAUGGUAGUGCCAACUCCUAAAAACAAACUUCCAACAGGACAACCACAAAGUACUGAAAUAAUAUACAUGCAUGCAUAAAGGCCAUGGGCAGAUCUACUUCUGUGAUCCUACAAGCAACACAUCAAGGCUCAUAAUUCAGAGAUCAUUUCUCUUCACCAACUACUUAAUGAAUGGUAUUCUUCCAGUGGAAAGUUUAAAUCCCCAAAUCACAACCAAUACCACCUGACUGAGCUCCCAAAAUUAUCACUAAAAGGAACAGAUCCAUUCUACCUAAGUAUGUGGACAUAUUCUCAUUUUAGCUAUCAGACUCUUUUAAAAGCACUUGAAAUAAUUAAUACAUUUUAAUGGACAGAAUGAAAAUUCAAAACAGGUAAAUGACCACAUACUGAUGGAAUUCCCACAGACUCUUGGGAGCAAUAUGACCAUAACAGCCAUCUUCUUCCAUCACAUUAUUAAACAAGAAAUGGAAGAUGCUUUUUGUCCGUAAAAACCAGAAAAUUAAGGUUAAGUGAAUUUUGAAAUGAUGAGUAACUAAUACUACACAGGAAAGAAACACACAAGUCUAAGCUUACCAAAGGAGUAGUAAACCCACUAGGAUUUUAUCAUGAAAAUGCUGCAUAUGUCUCAGACAAAAGGCAAAGGUAGAAGAGAACCAUCUUUUCUUAGCAUGUGGAAAUAACCUAACAAUUCCUUUGAAAAUAGAACCUAUCUAUACACAUGCAACAAAUCUGCACGUUGUGCACGUGUACCCUAAAACUUAAAGUAUAAUAAAAAAAUAAACAAAUAAAACGUGAAAAAAAAGAAAAUAGAACCUAAACACAUACUCUGUACUGAGUCAGUGUUCAACUCAUGCUAUUGACUUAUUAAAUAAUGAUGUCUAAGAACUCCACGCAUUGGUAAGACCUAACUGGGUACCUUUCUGGGAAUGAAUAACAGUGAUUUUAAAGACAUUAUUAACUGCAGUGAGAUUUGCUCAUCUGCCCAAGCUGAAGGGAGGCAUCUGAUUCAUCUCGGUCAAUUUAAACAGCUCAGAUAAUCUAAACAUGGUGUGGACAAAAUUAAAGGGCAUUCCGAGUCCUUAAUAUUAUGUGGGCUCUCUUUCAGAAUGGUCUUACAAAAUGUGCCUCAGGGGUUCUGUGGGUCCAGGAAAUAUCCACACAGUCCCUGACUUUGGUGGUGACAACAAAGGGAUCGAAGAUCUGAGAAAGGGAAGGAACAGAACACCACCUCCCGAAGCAAAACCAAACCAACAAGAAAAAAUACUCACAAUUGCUUAAAGAAAUGGUUGAUACUAGGUUGAAACUUUAAAUUAGAAAAUAUUUUCUUCAGUUAAUAGAAAGGAAAUAAAGGAUUGUCAAAUCUU